AAAUUGAUAGGUACUAAAUGUGAUUUUUCCGUCAAGGAACUAAAAUCAAUCUCCCUCAUAAAAUCAUAGACUAAUGUGACCAUUAACAAAAAAAAAAAAUUAAUAAUUAAGUUUAAAAGCAAACCUCCUACAAGAUGAAGAUCUUAGUAGUAGUCCCAAAUCUCAUUUGGCGCCCUAACUUAAACCUCGCCGAAGCUUCUGCUUCACGUUUUCGGUCUCUCGUCAGAAGCUCUUCACCGUCCAGGUUCCAGUUCGGAGGCCAAUAAAGAGCUACAAAUUCCUUGAGCUUGGAGUCUUCUGUAGGCCUUCAAUGCCCUUCUUCACAUAGUUCAUUGUGGCGUAUAGCAAUAAUUUAUAUCUUGCAAAGAAAAAGUCUACAUCUAAAACUCCAUAAUCCAUAAUCCAUAGAUAUUGCUUUUGGAUAGUAGGGAAUGCAUCCACUUUAAUCGAUUCUUGAUGCUAAGAGAAGAGAUUGUUUCUAUAAUGUGGAUGUGGGCAAGAAAUUGGCUCAGGCUAUUGAGGAUGUCGUGUUUGGGAUUUGGUACCUGCAGCACGUGGCAAAGAAACAUACAUGUCAGCAUGUGAGGCUCCCUGGAAUGCCAACUCAGCUCUCCAUCCGGUAAAGGGGCGAAAACCAACAGGUUUUAUAAGUUAAAGGAUGAAAAGCCGCAAAAUUUUAGUUGAAAGACGAAAAUCAAAUUCUCGCUUUAGUUCAGGGGCGGAAAACAUAUUUAACCCAAGAUCUUAAUAAAGUCCCAAAUCCCAUUUCACGCCCUAACUUAAUUCCCUCGGAAACCCGAAACUGCAGGUUCUCUCUCAUGCUGUCACCUUCACAGUUUCCCUCAGAAGCUCUCAUUCGCUCGCCGAAGCUUCUGCUUCACGUUUUCGGUCUCUCGCCAGAAGCUCUUCACCGUCGCGAACCAGUAAUCAGGUUCCAGUUCUGAGGCUAAUAAAGAGCUACAAAUUCCUUGAGCUAGGAAUCUUCUGGAGGCCUCCAAUGCCCUUCUGCACAUAGUUCAUUGUGGCUUAUAGCAAUAAUUUAUAUCUUGCAGAGAAAAAGUCUACAUCUAAAACUCCGUAAUCUAUAAUCCAUAGAUAUUGCCUUUGGAUACUAGGGAUUGCAUCCACUUUAAUCGAUUCUUGAUGCUAAGAAAAGAGAUUGUGGGCAAGAAAUUGGCUCAGGCUAUUAAGGAUGUUGUCUGGGCUAUAACUUCUGAAUUCUCUAACUUUUGACAGCAUUCAAGUUGCAUGUUGACAUGUACAGUUGUACAUGAUUAAGGUAUGCAAGAUUGCUUAUUUAUUAUGACCUUGACAUCUUUAUGGAUAAAUUUUCAGCCUUUAUAUAGUGAACUGGAGUUAUUUUUGAACUUGAGCUACUAUUGGUUUUAUUUUCUUUCUUUGCAUUUGUUCUAGAGGAGAUUUCCAUGCAUGAGCUUUGGAUGUGAACCUUCUUUAAGUAUCUUGUUGCUAUAUUUAGAUUAACAUUUCAAGUUGCAAAUCAAUAGGAUUUUCAGUUAUGUCUAUUGCACCAAA